rnacentral:lncRNA from 1 species
CAGACACACACACACACAGCACAUCAUACUAGACAAACAGACACACACACACAGAGCACAUCAUACUAGACAAACAGACACACACACACACACAGCACAUCAUACCAGACAAACACACACACACACACAUACACACAGCACAUCAUACCAGACAAACACACAGCCACACACACACACAGAGCACAUCAUACCAGACAAACAGACACACAUACACAACUUUCUAGCACUGAGCGGUAGGGACCUUCCAGCAGCCCUCUGGCCACUCCCAAGGUUGCUCUUCUGCCCAGGAUGCUGCAUCCUGGGAGUGCUGUAGAUUCUCAAGUGAGCAGCCAUCUCUCCUGCUCCUGGUGGCAGUAGCUGGCCUCAGGACACUGUUGUACUCUUCCUCUGCUCUGACGACAGGUCAUGGAGCAGAACUGAAGCCCUAACUUCCACAAACUUGAACCUGAAAAGCGUGAAACCUAAAGUGACUUAAGCCUGGGUGAGGCCUCUUAGCCAAGUGAGGAGCGGUGUGUUCAGGGGAGGCCGCUCUUAGGUCUGGGGAGGGUCACCAGCACAGACUCUGCACCGCAGGCUGACAGGAGUGAGUUCAUCCCAUCCAUAGCCCAGGCCUUCGGUGCUAGUGGGGCAGGAGCUCCAGGCUCAAGAGUCCGGAGAACAGGGAGGCACAGGAAGACUCAAGGAGUGCUCCUUGCAGGUGCUCCUCUCCCAGGCCAUUUAACAGAGCUGACACUCAGUCUUCUCCAGAAUUCACAGACCCCAACGGCAGUAGGCAAUGAGGACAGGCCACUCUGCCUCACCUCACAGUUCCCCCUCGAAAGUCUCCGCCAGCUUCUCCUCAUCUGCCUGCUGUCUCUGCUGCUGGAUCCGAGCAUAAGAAAUGGCAUCGCCC